AUGAGCAGAUUGUUGCGACCGCAUCGGUCUUGUUUGACUGAUGCUUUUGAGGAGAAACGUUAUCCAGGCUGUCGAUGUAUUGGUCGCCACCUGAAGAAAAUUUCUGGCAUUGACUGUGAGAACUGGGACCUUCUGAAACUUGCGACAGCUUUUAAGAUCAUAUGCAGCCAUGAAAUCGGUGAUUCUGAUGAGAUGUUUCCGGAAGACGUGCAAACAAAGUUGCUGGAUGAUGCGGAUAAAUACGAAAAGAAGAUAAAUAAGUUAGUUUGCAUGUUGCACCACAAACAAAUAGAGUCCCUUCAAUAG
rnacentral:rRNA from 1 species